rnacentral:rRNA from 1 species
CCUACGGGUGGCAGCAGUGAGGAAUAUUGGGCAAUGGACGAGAGUCUGAACCAGCCAAGCAGCGUGAAGGAUGACUGCCCUAUGGGUUGUAAACUUCUUUUAUAUGGGAAUAAAAUGUUCCACGUGUGGGAUUUUGUAUGUACCAUAUGAAUAAGGAUCGGCUAACUCCGUGCCAGCAGCCGCGGUAAUACGGAGGAUCCGAGCGUUAUACGGAUUUAUUGGGUUUAAAGGGAGCGUAGGUGGAUUGUUAAGUCAGUUGUGAAAGUUUGCGGCUGAACCGUAAAAUUGCAGUUGAAACUGGCAGUCUUGAGUACUGUAGAGGUGGGCGGAAUUCGUGGUGUAGCGGUGAAAUGCGUAGAUAUCACGAAGAACUCCGAUUGCGAAGGCAGUUCACUGGACUGCAACUGACACUGAGGCUCGAAAGUGUGGGUAUCAAACAGGAUUAGAUACCCCUGUAGUC